AUGAAGGAGACAAGGAUUGAGAAGACUCACGAGCCGAUCGAAGAUGCCGUUCGUGCAGAGGUUGCGUCAAGAGGCCCAGGGCUGAUGAAGCGGUGUGUCAUGCGCGAGUCUUGCUCACCGGCGGUGUCUACGGAGGAGAGAGGCUGCGGGUGCAUCACGGUAGCUGGGCGUAGUAAUCGGUUUGCGGUUCUGGCCGGAGCAGAUGAAGGGAAGCGUUUGUGGGUAUGA